GAGUGCUUCUGGCAUCCUCAACACGGAUAAGGGCGCCCUGCUCAUGGAGCAGUGCUUCAAGCGCAUAAAUAGCCUGGCUAAGAGUCCGAAGCUGCCGUUGCGCAUACUCUUUAUGCUCCGCGACGUCAUGGAGCUCUGGAGGGACCGCGGAGUGUAGCGCGACAGAGGGCCCCAUCAACCAGAUCCGCAAUGACAACGACGAGCACUCGAGCCCCGGCGGGUCGCUUGGCGGUGGACCCUGCGGCUACGACUACGGCCGCAAUUGCGGCGAACCUGACGACGAGCCGAGCUCCUGGGCCCUGAUAAACGCUCGGGCUCCUGGCUUACGGCAUUCUUUCGAGCAAUUGCUCUGAUUUGCACUGGAGCUCCGGACCUUUAGCUCCAAUGGCUUCUACAACAUCAACCAGCGCAAUCAGCCUUCCCUCUUUACCCCAACCAGAAAUAGCCAGUAGAACAAUUUCUUGGCCAAGCAUAACCAGCAGCAGCACAACUCACCCCAGAACUGCAAUAAACAACGUAUGCAGACUCUUGAUAAGGAAUUCAAAGCUCUGGAAGACGAAUGCAGGAAAGUGAUGAGGAGGUCAAGGUCUUUCAAGACUUGAACUAACAAUUCAAAGAGGAAUGUCGAGUUGCUAUUGCUGACAGCAAUUAUAUAAGAUAUUGAAUGCAGGUGUGUGGGCGAGAGGUCGUCAAGGCUGAUCUCAUAACUUACCUGCGCUUCCCUAACUCAGAAGAUAUUCAGAUGGCGUCGUUACGCGACUGGAUCGCGAGCUUGAGGCCGCUUCAUGCAUUGGCGCCGAUUUUCGAAAAAUAAAUGAAGAUCGCGAUAUUAACCUGCCGGACGUGGAGCUCUGGGAGCUCAUCAACAUCGUGCUGCUGCAGAUGAUGAGCAUCACGGAUCGUUUGGCAUCAGAGCUGCCUGGGACAAUCAGCAUCAAAACGAGGGACAGGAGUUUUCAGCAGAUAUCUGCGAAAAUUAACCAGCGCUAUCACCGCAGUUUCAAUCGUCGUAUCACAGUUGGUGAUGUCGAAAUCGUCUGGGAUUAUUUGACCGCACAUCACAGCCGCAUCCGCGAGUAUUUGCGACUUGGAUACAUCCGGAAAGCUGACUUGGAUUCGAUUCACUGGGCCAUUUACAAAGACCUCCGCAGUAUGCCGAUGUUAAUUUAAGAAUGUGAUUUAAAAAGAACCUACACGCUAUGAGAGUUUUGUGGCAGGAAAAUCAAAAUGCGCAGCAGAUCGCAGAGGCAGUGAAUUGCUCAUUAGCCACCGCUUACAGGUAUGUGCAACGAUUCCAACAAGAAAUGGAUGGUAGAGAAAUAGUUCAAGAUCGACGAAACAACUCUGGCAGGCAUAACAAGAUAUCCGAUGAGGACCUUGUAUUGGUAAUGGCCGCAAUGCAGGAGGAUCCAUUUCGGGCCGUGAAACAUUUGCCAGAAUUAUUGAACCUAGACGUUCAUGAAGAAACGCUGAGAACAGCUAUAAAAAAGGACAAAUCUUACGUAUCGUAAAGCUGCAGUUAAAAUUCAUCUGAACCACCAGGAUGUCAUCGCUCGCCUGCAUUAUGCCAAUACUUAUUUGAAUAGGACUGAGGAGGAAUGGAGAAGAAUG
rnacentral:lncRNA from 1 species